rnacentral:rRNA from 1 species
AUGUUGCAUUAUGUUGUACUACCAGUACACCUGCUCAAUAUUUGUAACUGCAUCCAGUACACCUGCUCAAUAUUUGUAAUUUCGUUGAUUCAGAGUUUCAUAGGUAAUUCGCAUAAUGGAUUGUCAUACAUAAUUUGCAUUAUGUUGCAUUAUGUUGUACUACCAACAACCAAAGGGAGUGCAUGGUUUUGUGUUCGAGCCUCCAACAGGCUAUGCAUGCCCCCAAUGAAUUCUUUUGUGCUGUUACAAUCAUCAGUCGAGAUUUUAAAAAAUCAUAUAUUUGUGAUUCCUAAAAACUCAAAACAAAUCAAAAAAGUUGAGUUUCAUACAAAUUGUAGCUUAUGGGGAGUUGUUGCUCUUGGGGAUGCACAUUGCCGUGCAAAGCCUUGUUGA